rnacentral:tRNA from 1 species
UUUCAAGGAGGCAUGCAAAAGGUUCACUUCCCUGGGGGUAG